UGCACGCUCCUUAGAUCCGUUUCAUUUUCAAUGUGAAACGCUUGAGUCAUAAGUGUGCUACAGCAUGAUACCUCCAAUCUGAGACUGAUAUGUGGCAUCUUUAUAGAUAUCACUUGGCUUGGAAUGGGGAACAU